rnacentral:rRNA from 1 species
AGUGGCGAACGGGUGAGUAAUGCAUCGGAACGUGCCCAGUAGUGGGGGAUAGCCCGGCGAAAGCCGGAUUAAUACCGCAUACGACCUACGGGUGAAAGCGGGGGACCGAAAGGCCUCGCGCUAUUGGAGCGGCCGAUGUCAGAUUAGGUAGUUGGUUGGGGUAAAGGCCUACCAAGCCUACGAUCUGUAGCUGGUCUGAGAGGACGACCAGCCACACUGGGACUGAGACACGGCCCAGACUCCUACGGGAGGCAGCAGUGGGGAAUUUUGGACAAUGGGCGCAAGCCUGAUCCAGCCAUGCCGCGUGCGGGAAGAAGGCCUUCGGGUUGUAAACCGCUUUGUCAGGGAAGAAAUCUUCUGGGUUAAUACCUCGGGAGGAUGACGGUACC